UUUUAUUAUUUUUUUUUAGGGUUUUUAAUGCUUAGCGCUGAGGAAAUAUAAGCUGUGGCUAUUGCUCCUGCCUGCUAAAUGAACACAAAAUGAAGCCCAACAGUCCAUCAGUGGAACAGCCUGCAGUCAUGCACAAAACACUGCCAGCCUUGGUCUUAAGUCAUAGUUGCAGGUUUGAUCUUUAUUUUAAAAAGCUAUGACCUAGUUUAAGCGUAAGUUACAGUCUGUGAUCUGCAGAUGGUCCAAGUGAUCAAAAUGUCACCUUCUGGCUUCCUUCUGUGUGACCUCCAAGAAAUCAGGCCAGCCAAAAGAGCACACAAAAGUCUUACUGGGGAGACUGACAUCAACAUCUGCUCCUUGAAAUUGCCCAUGGAAGCAAGGAGGAGUUGCUCAUGAAACCUUACAGCUGUGCAGAAAAAUAAAAGCAACAAGGUGCAGCUGAAAACCAGAGCCUGUAUUAGCACCUGCUCAGGGACUGAGGAGCUGCGGGGCUGGUGCUGGUCUCAAGGCAUUAAAGCCCAUCCAUCUGUAGGCCUGUCCUUUUCUUCCUCUUUGUACAUUUUCUAGGGUGAUUUCACUGAUUCCCUUGGGAAUUGCUCUGGCUCUACAAUGUGGCCAACAUGGUCAACUUUGGACUUGACAUACAUCUCGGUGAAAUAGGAGGAAAUAGAAAGAACUUGUUAAAAGAUAUAUAUAUAUAUAUAUAUAUAUAUAUGUAUGUAUGUAUGUAUGUACAUAUGUGUGUAUGUAUUAAAUACCUCCAUAGAAAAGAUGCUAAUAUGAGGAAGAGACUCCAGGUCUGCUGGUCUGAGAGAAGGCAGGUCAGAUGUUCCCUGGAUUUCAAUUGCAGCAGCGUUGACCUAGCAGAAAACCCAGAAGUGGAAACCAGUCCACAGAAACAGGACAAGAGAUAAUGGUUUUAAGUUGUGUUUGGGGAGAUUCGAUUUGGAUAGUAGAAAAAAAUUUAUUCUCUGAAAGAGUGGUGAGACAUUGGAACAGUCUGCCCAGGGAGGUGGUGGAGUCACUGUCCCUGGAGGUGUUCAAGAAACCUGGAGAUGUAGCAAUAACUGACAUGGUUAUUGGGCAUGGUGGUGAUGGGUUGAUGGUUGGAUUAGGUGAUCUUAGUGAUCUUUCCAGCCUUAAGGAUUAUGUGUAACCACCUGUGUCACCUCUCUUCUCUCAAAUCUCCACCACUCAAUUAUCACCAAAGCACUGGACGGCCUCCUGUGUUACCCAAAGCAAUGGGAGACCAACUGCCAGAUGCCAUUGGCUCCGCCACCUACUAGAUCCAUGGAAAAAAAAAAACUGAGUAUUAAAAAGACAAUAAAUCUUUACCUAUAUAAAUUAUGGUGUGGACAAAAGAAAUUAAUAAAAUGUAUCUUCAGAGUGUCUCAAUGCCAUUAAAAGAGUAUCUCAAACCAAUUAAAAGAGCAUCCAUAAUUCACUCAUGCUCACUCCCAUGGAUCUGUGGCGUAGUACAGAAAGCACGUGUGCGUCCAUAAUCUUGUCCCAUCAUUUCAUAUAGUCCUUGUUUUUGAGACAGGAGGAAGGCUUUCAGUCAGCAAGGUUUAUGCAUUUAUCGGCCUUCUCUGUCAGUAGCUCCAAACCUUGGACUCUGGGUCCUUCUGAUCUCGGACUAUCUUAGUCUGUGACUUUCUUGAAAAAACACUUGUCUCAACCCACUGAGCAGAGCACACUUAACCUUUUCAGGCUAUUGGAUCUGCCUUAUCACAAUUUACUUUCAGGCCCAGGAGACAGGACAGCAUUGCAACACUGAAAGUCAAAGGGCCUGAAAAAAAAUAACGUGGUUAUUCAGGGAGGGAAAGCAAACAAAUAAAGAUGGGUCUCCAUGGGUCUUUCAUAUUCCCUCAUCCCAUCUCAUGUUUUGUGACUUUCCCUCAGCCGUGUGGAAUUUCUCACUUUCCCUCCUGACUGUCUUUGAAAGAAAGCAAGGCGAGAUCUCACCUCCAUGUGCUGGGACAUCACAGGGUCAACCUGAAAUCCCAAUGUUUGAACUCUCAUUGCUGCAAUUGACAACUCUGAGGAAUAUGUUGUGGAAUUGUUACUACUGAAAUUAUUUUUCUAUUUAUUUUCAGAUAGUUUUUAGGCUUGCAGAUUGUGCCUAAUAGGAUAUAGUGUCUAAGUGAAUCUAUCAAUCAGACACUUUCUCCUACCAUGGAAAUAAUGAAUUAAAAAGAAAGUACUGCAAGUCUGAUCAUGCUGUGGAUUCAACAACAAAUGGAGAUUUUCUAGAGUUACUAGGAGGUGCAGUUUGUGCCUGCUUUUGCAAGGACAUCACAUCAAGUUUCCUUUUUGUCUUUAGACCUGAAGAAAUCAUGUUUGCAGUUCUGGGCUCCCCAGUACAAAAAAUAUUCUGUGAUUCUGUGAUUGGAAGAAUAAUAUAAGGGAAAGGGGUUGCCACAUAUGAGAGAAACCUUUGAAUAUUCAUCUGUAUAUGACAUAAACUGACCUAUUGCAAUUCCUUCUAGUGGAGAUAGGUAAGAUAGGCCUUUGCUUUGGGUGUCUUGAAUGUCAGAAUCUUGUUUCUCCAUAGUAUUCCAUUAUUGUCAGUAAAAUAGGAAGAUGACUGAAUGCUGGAACAAAAUCAGAACCAGUUUUGAUCAGGACCAUAACAUAUGAAGUAUCACACAAAUGGACAUGGAGAUGUUGGUUUUCAGGCUAUCACUGUGCAUGGUCUGCUAAGGAGUAUGCAGUAGGCCUAUAUGGGCAGAGUCCUAUUAACUUCAGUGGGAGCUUCCUGUGAUAGAUAGGAAGCAGUCCUCAGGUAUUAUCUCAGUGCUGUGUCUGACUUCUAAACACCUAGCUGCACAGAGGAUCAACUGAAUUGUCUGACAUGUAUUUUAAUUUCAAGGAACUUAACCCAGAAAUGCACUCUGAUUCACAAAUAUGAGCUCUUCCCACAUGAAAGCCAACACCGAUUUGCAAAGUCAUCCCACCUCUGUUUUGUAUUCAGCCCUUCAUUGUUGAACAUCUUUUGAAAGAGGCUGUGAACUGACAAUGAUCCUGUUGGCAAAGUUUUUGCCCACAGUCUUUGGUAGACUCCAGUCCUCCAAAUAUGCCACUUACCACUUUCCCCAAGCACAGCAAGAA
ensembl:lncRNA